CUUAAACCUGGGCUCACAUAUGACCAGAGCCAACUCUUUCCAGCAUAACACUCUGGAAAAAACAAAAAUCAUCUAGCAUUGGGAGAACUGAAAACCUUUCAGAGGACAUUAUUUUUAACGCGACACAAGAAGCAACUGCAAAAAUGUACAAUGAACCAGUGAUGGAGGAACUGUACACUGGAUACCUGCACAAGUCCCCCCCUCUAACGGCCCUGAAUAAAACCACUAAAUCAUGGAAGCGUCGUUUCUUUGUGCUCUCCAAAACUCGUGAAGACUCAUACCAGCUGACAUAUCAUGAAAACGAAAAGAAAGACAAGACUUUGGGAGAGAUAGACCUUUCUAAGAUCAGCCUGCUGUUUAUUGGCCCCGAGGCACAUCAGAAGUGGGACUGGAUCCAGAAAAACUUCAAGUGUUUUCCAUCCAGUGUGCUCUUCUUAAAGGUGGAAGAUGAUACACUAAAACAAGCUAGAGAAUAUUUCCUCAUUGGAGAAAACAGGGAUGAAGUGGAGGGUUUGCACACUGCCAUAGUCAAGGUAAUGAAGAUCCAGAAAUCACAAAAUAAACUGCAACAUACAGACGCUUCUAACCUACAGAAGGACAAGAAAUUUAGAUCACGAUCUGUACCUGUGAGCACUUUAGAUCUAAAGUACAAGAGUUGGUCAGCAUCUAAAUUAACUUCUUCACAACAACACAAUCAUUAUGGCAAUCCUCGCAAGCACAGCGAACCUCCAGUACCAAUUACAGUUAUUGAGGAAAAAGAUGAGAAGGACGGGAAGCAGGAUGAACCUCCAAGGGACAACAAUGAAUACAUGACCAUGGGAUCAGUGCAAGUGUUUAAGAGCGCUUUUCCUUUUAACUGGCCUUGUGGAAUGCACUGUAGAUAAAAUAAUUUUCAGAGACACAGUUUAAUUUAAAUGUUCUGUGGUCUUUUCUGAUUAGGCAAAUGGUGUUGGAAGGUGACCAACAGGAGGAUGAUACUGCAUGCAAAAAAAAAACUGAAACACACACACAUGGUGAGAAGGAGAUCUUGACACAGGAAGAAGGCAAACCAUGUGUGUCUCAGUCACGUCAGAUUCAGGACUCAAGGGGAGAUCAGAUCCUGGCCACAGACACAGUAAAAAAUAUUCAGAAAUGCUUUAAAACUCUAAGCAAGAAUGAGGCAGAACUCCUAGUUCAGCAGCAUCCAAGCAUCUUUCUGAACCCUGGCCACCACACAUGAAACAAAAUCUAACACAAAUUCUCUCAUCCCCAUAAAAAAUAUUAAAAAUGUUGUACACAUGUCUACUUUAAGGUCAAAGGGUCAUUUGCUCAUACAGGUGGAAAACAAGGCACUACUGGGUAACCGAAGAGGCAAUCCGGUUAUCUAAAGUACCUUAUUCUCUCUUGCAUGUACAUUAAUCAUCUAAAUAUGUAUAAAAAAUGGCACAUGUACAUGAAAUUACAUAAGAGACAGUGGGUACUAUAUUUGUUUGUUUGGAGAACAAGAGUCAAGUAUUACUUCAUAACAAGUUUGAGACUUCACAGUGAAAAACUAGUUUAACUGUUCAUAUAUUUUAAAGCAGCACUUUACUGUGUAUGUACAUAAAACAUUUCUGUCACUGUGUAUUCUUUAUUUGUUUUGCAAUACAUGUAACCAGUGACACGUUGCUCCCAAUCAUUAUGCAUUGGUUUAAAUGUUUUUAUAUUGUUACAUUGUUACACUGUGAAAUGUUAUUAAACUUCCCAUUUAACUGUU